rnacentral:rRNA from 1 species
CCCUUCGGUUGAUCCUGGCGGAGGCCACUGCUAUCGGAGUUCGAUUAAGCCAUGCGAGUCGAGAGGUGAAAGACCUCGGCAUACUGCUCAGUAACACGUGGACAAUCUAACCUACGGAGGGGGAUAACCCCGGGAAACUGGGGAUAAUACCCCAUAGACUAUGGAUGCUGGAAUGCUUUGUAGUCGAAAGGUCCGCCGCCGUAGGAUGGGUCUGCGGCCGAUUAGGUUGUUGUUGGGGUAACGGCCCAACAAGCCUGUAAUCGGUACGGGUUGUGGGAGCAAGAGCCCGGAGAUGGAUUCUGAGACACGAAUCCAGGCCCUACGGGGCGCAGCAGGCGCGAAAACUUUACAAUGCGGGAAACCGUGAUAGGGGAACUCCGAGUGCCCGUUAAAUCGGGCUGUCCAUCUGUUUAAAUAACAGGUGAAGAAAGGGCCGGGCAAGACCGGUGCCAGCCGCCGCGGUAAUACCGGCGGCUCGAGUGGUGGCCACUAUUACUGGGCUUAAAGCGUUCGUAGCUGGUUUGUUAAGUCUCUGGGGAAAUCUUCCGGCUUAACCGGAAGGCGUCUCAGGGAUACUGGCAGACUAGGGACCGGGAGAGGUGAGGGGUACUCCAGGGGUAGGAGUGAAAUCCUGUAAUCCUUGGGGGACCACCUGUGGCGAAGGCGCCUCACCAGAACGGCUCCGACAGUGAGGGACGAAAGCUGGGGGAGCAAACCGGAUUAGAUACCCGGGUAGUCCCAGCUGUAAACGAUGCGCGUUAGGUGUAUCGGUGACCACGAGUCACCGAGGUGCCGAAGAGAAAUCGUGAAACGUGCCGCCUGGGAAGUACGGUCGCAAGGCUGAAACUUAAAGGAAUUGGCGGGGGAGCACCACAACGGGUGGAGCCUGCGGUUUAAUCGGACUCAACGCCGGGAAACUCACCAGUUAAGACAGCUGAAUGAUAGUCGGGCUGAAGACUCUACUUGACUAGCUGAGAGGAGGUGCAUGGCCGUCGUCAGUUCGUACUGUGAAGCAUCCUGUUAAGUCAGGCAACGAGCGAGACCCAAAGG